AUUGAACGCUGGCGGCACGCUUAACACAUGCAAGUCGAACGGCAGCGGGGUUGUUUUUUCGGAAACGACCGCCGGCGAGUGGCGGACGGGUGAGUAACGCGUUGGGACCUGCCCUUAAGUGGGGGACAACCCGGGGAAACUCGGGCUAAUACCGCAUGCCCUCGAGAGAGGAAAGCUGCCCUAUGGGUGGCGCUUAAGGAUGGCCCUGCGUCCGAUUAGCUGGUUGGUGAGGUAACGGCUCACCAAGGCGACGAUCGGUAACUGUUCUGAGAGGAAGGACAGUCACACUGGGACUGAGACACGGCCCAGACUCCUACGGGAGGCAGCAGUGGGGAAUAUUGGACAAUGGGGGCAACCCUGAUCCAGCGAUGCCGCGUGUGUGAAGAAGGCCUGCGGGUUGUAAAGCACUUUCACAGGCGAGGAUGGUACUGAUAUUGAAUAGGUAUUGGUAUUGACGUUACCCUGAGAAGCAGCACCGGCUAACUCUGUGCCAGCCGCCGCCGUAACAC
rnacentral:rRNA from 1 species